rnacentral:misc_RNA from 1 species
UUUGCUAAAGCUUGGUUCCCCUGUAUUGUCGCAGAUGGCAUUCAUAGAGAUUCCAAGCAAUAUGUAGAACAGACAGCUUAUGUUCACUGCUUCUUCUCUUCUGCCUUCCUAGGCUUGGUACCAGGAGCAGGCUGGUGGAGCUCUUCCUCUGGAAUAAUAACAGGCCACUUCUCUCCAGCUUCACGGAACAUUUGCUCCGUCUCGAGGUACUGACCCUUCUGCAAAAUCAUGUUCCUUAUGGUCUGAGCAGAAAUGGUAGUGCCAUCAAAAACCUCCUCGACUCCGUUGACAAAAGUGACAGUGAUUUGUGGCGGGUGAUCGUCGGUUCGGCGCUUGACCAAAACCUGGCAAGCG